rnacentral:rRNA from 1 species
GAUGAACGCUAGCGGGAGGCCUAAUACAUGCAAGUCGAACGGUAACAGGUAGCAAUACGCUGACGAGUGGCGCACGGGUGCGUAACGCGUACACAAUCUGCCUUAUACUGGGGCAUAGCCUUUGGAAACGAAGAAUAAUUCCCCAUAAUAUAUAGAAGAGGCAUCUCUUUCAUAUUAAAGCUCAGGCGGUAUAAGAUGAGUGUGCGUCCGAUUAGGUAGUUGGUGAGGUAACGGCUCACCAAGCCAACGAUCGGUAGCUGGUCUGAGAGGAUGAUCAGCCACACGGGCACUGAGACACGGGCCCGACUCCUACGGGAGGCAGCAGUAGGGAAUAUUGGACAAUGGGCGCAAGCCUGAUCCAGCCAUCCCGCGUGAAGGAUGAAGGUCCUCUGGAUUGUAAACUUCUUUUCUUCGGGAAUAAAAACUAGGGGUUCUCCUCAGCUUGAAGGUACCGAAGGAAUAAGCACCGGCUAACUCCGUGCCAGCAGCCGACGG